rnacentral:rRNA from 1 species
CAGGAUGAACGCUAGCGUACAGGCUUAACACAUGCAAGUCGAGGGGUAACGGCAGCUUAGCUUGCUAGCUGGCCGACGACCGGCGCACGGUGAGUAACGCGUAUCCAACCUGCCCCUACAAAGGGAUAACCCGUAGAAAUGCGGCCUAAUCCCUUAUGUACUCCGACGAUGGCAUCAGACUUGGAGCAAAGGAGCGAUCCGGUAGGGGAUGGGGAUGCGUCUGAUUAGCUUGCUGGCGGGGUAACGGCCCACCAGGGCUACGAUCAGUAGGGGUUCUGAGAGGAAGGUCCCCCACAUUGGAACUGAGACACGGUCCAAACUCCUACGGGAGGCAGCAGUGAGGAAUAUUGGUCAAUGGACGGGAGUCUGAACCAGCCAAGUAGCGUGCAGGAUGACGGCCCUAUGGGUUGUAAACUGCUUUUGCGGGAGGAUAAAGUGCUCCACGUGUGGAGCAUUGCAGGUAUCCCGCGAAUAAGGACCGGCUAAUUCCGUGCC